rnacentral:rRNA from 1 species
AGUGAACGCUGGCGGCAGGCCUAAUACAUGCAAGUCGAACGGCAGCACAGCAGAGCUUGCUCUGUGGGUGGCGAGUGGCGGACGGGUGAGGAAUACAUGGGAAUCUGCCCAGUCGUGGGGGAUAACGUAGGGAAACUUACGCUAAUACCGCAUGCGCCCUUCGGGGGAAAGCCGGGGACCUUCGGGCCUGGCGCGAUUGGAUGAGCCCAUGUCGGAUUAGCUAGUUGGCGGGGUAAAGGCUCACCAAGGCGACGAUCUGUAGCGGGUCUGAGAGGAUGAUCCGCCACACUGGAACUGAGACACGGCCCAGACUCCUACGGGAGGCAGCAGUGGGGAAUUUUGGACAAUGGGCGAAAGCCUGAUCCAGCCAUGCCGCGUGGAGGAAGAAGUCCUUCGGGGCGUAAACUCCUGGACUGGGGGACGAGUAAGGACGGUACCCCAGUAGAAAGGGACGGCUAACUACGUG